AUUCGCCACCUGAGUAAGCUCGGGACUCACGCAGCCCGGGCAGCGAGUGCAAAGAUGGAAACCAGGUCAUGAGCUUGGCAAGUGGGGCUGGAGGAGUGGCCGACAGAAAGGCGGGGGGAGGGGGGUUCCUCUGAGGCUCCGGGGUGGAAAGCGGACGUUCUGCUUUGCAAGCCGGCUCGUUUCAAGCAACAGUCGUGCGGCCAGACUUUCCAUCACUCAGAAACUGACGGGCUGGGAGUCCCGGGCGGUGCCCUAGUCGGUGAGAUCUUUGGCAUCCCGGGCAUCUGUUUGCUAUUUAGUGGGUGCUCGAGGGAGAGUUCCCCGGCCUGCGAGCCGAGCUCCGAGUCUGCACGCACGCGCUCGCGUGCAUUGGGAAAGGACUUGGAAGUACUCAGGAGGCGCUGAGGAAGAGGAGAGAGCGGUUCAAGAUUCACUUGCUGGUCGAAGACUUAAUUUGAGCGUAUCCCAUCUUUAGACUUUCAGAAGGAAGAGAAUUUUUCCAUCUCGGCCAGAGAAAGGCCUUCGCUUUUCUGCGUUGAACUGUAGGUCCCAUCCAAUGAGGAAACCCUUCCACCUGAGUUCAGAGGCAGAGUAAACCGAGGUGAUUCUCCUGGGCAAUGCGAGCUGCCCUGAUCCUUCAGCUGAAAUUAAUCACGUUAAAAAUAAACCUCCGGAACAGGACCGGGAGGAAGAAGGAGACUUGACGCCCGGCUCACGCAGAUGUCUGUGUUUUAAUCUGUGGACCAGCCUCCUGAUUACAGUGAAUCGUGCAAAGCUACUCGUGGUACCAAUUGACGUUCUUAACAGCUGUGUGCGAGAGUUCCCGCUGUUCAGUGACUUGACAAAUUCGCAGUAUCAUCAGUCUGGUGCGGUGAUCCUGAAAAUUAUCAUUCAGAUCUCCAGCUGGACUGAGCGGAAUUGACGGCUUUCGCGGCUGCAUGUCUUGCACACAGUCUGGCGUGGGGACGAUAAGUGUGGAAAACCAUCACUGAGAAGAAAAGGAGGGGAAGAAAAACACAUGAAGGAGAAAACAUCUGCUAAAAAACAUACAUUAAAACUUAUGCUCAUUUCUUGGUUUUUCUUCCAGCUAUCCAUUUAAUUACAUAAAAUCAAAUAAACGUGCUUUUCAAUACAA